rnacentral:rRNA from 1 species
UACGUAGGGGGCAAGCGUUGUCCGGAAUCAUUGGGCGUAAAGAGCGCGUAGGCGGCCCAGUAAGUCCGCUCUGAAAGUCAGAGGCUCAACCUCUGAAUGCGGUUGGAUACUGCUGGGCUAGAGUCCGGAAGAGGCGAGUGGAAUUCCUGGUGUAGCGGUGAAAUGCGCAGAUAUCAGGAGGAACACCGAUGGCGAAGGCAGCUCGCUGGGACGGUACUGACGCUGAGGCGCGAAAGCGUGGGGAGCAAACAGG